rnacentral:misc_RNA from 1 species
AAUCUUCAAAAACCCUUUCUUUGGGAUUUUUGGACUUGGAGGUUUUAAUGCUUGCCCUUUUCUUUUGAAAGCGAGCUCCUCUCAAAUGAAUUAGUGGGGUCCGCUUUGCUGAUCCUUGACGUGAUAAGAAAUGUUUCUACGUUUUGGGUUUAGCACUGUCCCAUGGCCGCCUGCUCCUAACCGUCUCAUUGACAAAUGAUGGUGCUUCGGUCACCGCCGGUCUACGUCGGCGGGAGGCUGGACCCACGAAAAGAAAA